rnacentral:rRNA from 1 species
AGGUGCGAAAGCGUGGGGAGCAAAAGGAAAAGAUACCCUGGUAGUCCACGCCGUAAACGAUGUCGACUUGGAGGUUGUGCCCUUGAGGCGUGGCUUCCGGAGCUAACGCGUUAAGUCGACCGCCUGGGGAGUACGGCCGCAAGGUUAAAACUCAAAUGAAUUGACGGGGGCCCGCACAAGCGGUGGAGCAUGUGGUUUAAUUCGAUGCAACGCGAAGAACCUUACCUGGUCUUGACAUCCACGGAAGUUUUCAGAGAUGAGAAUGUGCCUUCGGGAACCGUGAGACAGGUGCUGCAUGGCUGUCGUCAGCUCGUGUUGUGAAAUGUUGGGUUAAGUCCCGCAACGAGCGCAACCCUUAUCCUUUGUUGCCAGCGGUCCGGCCGGGAACUCAAAGGAGACUGCCAGUGAUAAACUGGAGGAAGGUGGGGAUGACGUCAAGUCAUCAUGGCCCUUACGACCAGGGCUACACACGUGCUACAAUGGCGCAUACAAAGAGAAGCGACCUCGCGAGAGCAAGCGGACCUCAUAAAAGUGCCGUCGUAGUCCGGAUUGGAGUCUGCAACUCGACUUCCAUGAAGUCGGAAUCGCUAGUAAUCGUGGAUCAGAAUGCCACGGUUGAAUACCGUUCCCCGGGCCUUUGUACAC